CCUACGGGAGGCAGCAGUGAGGAAUAUUGGUCAAUGGGCGCGAGCCUGAACCAGCCAAGUAGCGUGAAGGAUGAAUGCCCUACGGGUUGUAAACUUCUUUUAUAAAGGAAUAAAGUGAGGCACGUGUGCCUCUUUGUAUGUACUUUACUAAUAAGGAUCGGCUAACUCCGUGCCAGCAGCCGCGGUAAUACGGAGGAUCCAAGCGUUAUCCGGAUUUAUUGGGUUUAAAGGGAGCGUAGAUGGGUUGUUAAGUCAGUUGUGAAAGGUUGCGGCUCAACCGUAAAAUGGCAAUUGAUACUGGCAGACUUGAGUACAGGUGAGGUAGGCGGAAUUCGUGGUGUAGCGGUGAAAUGCUUAGAUAUCACGAAGAACUCCGAUUGCGAAGGCAGCUUACUAAACUGCCACUGACAUUGAUGCUCGAAAGUGUGGGUAGCAAACAGGAUUAGAUACCCCAGUAGUC
rnacentral:rRNA from 1 species